GACGAACGCUGGCGGCGUGCCUAAUACAUGCAAGUCGACCUUAGUGGCGGACGGGUUAGUAACACGUGGGACCCUACCCAUCAGAGGGGGAUAACACUUGGAAACAGGGGCUAAUACCGCAUACCAUCAGAAGUGCCUUGAUGGGAGUAGCUUGUUGGGGGGGUAACGGCCCACCAAGGCGACGAUCCCUAGCUGGUCUGAGAGGAUGACCAGCCACACUGGAACUUAGACACGGUCCAGACUCCUACGGGAGGCAGCAGUGGGGAAUAUUGGACAAUGGGCGAAAGCCUGAUCCAGCCAUGCCGCGUGUGUGAAGAAGGUCUUCGGAUUGUAAAGCACUUUAAGUUGGGAGGCGUUACCAACAGAAUAAGCACCGGCUAACUUCGUGCCAGCAGCCGCGGUAAUUC
rnacentral:rRNA from 1 species